rnacentral:tRNA from 1 species
GCCUGGCUGGCUCUGUGGGUGGAGCAUGUGACUCUUGAUCUCAUGGUUGUGAGUUCGAGACUCAUGUUGGGGA